rnacentral:rRNA from 11 species
AUCUAUAUAAGCAAAUCCCCUAAAGGCAUCAGAUCCUGUCCGAUCUUAGAGGCUAAGCAGGGUCAGCCCUGGUUAGUACUUGGAUUGGUAGCACUAAUGAAUUCCAUGAGCUGUAGGUC